UCGUGAGGUGACCCGUCUGGUUAAUUCCGAUAACGAACGAGACCUCAACCUGCUAAAUAGAAGAGGGUGAUGUAUUUACGGGUGAAGGGAUCGGUGUGAUAUGGCUACGGUUGUAUUCACCGGUUUUGGAUCCUUUACGUUCACCUUCCUUUCUUCUUAGAGGGACUAUUUGUCGUUUAGCGAAGGGAAGUUUGAGGCAAUAACA
rnacentral:rRNA from 1 species